UACAGAGGGUGCAAGCGUUAAUCGGAAUUACUGGGCGUAAAGCGCGCGUAGGUGGUUUGUUAAGUUGAAUGUGAAAUCCCCGGGCUCAACCUGGGAACUGCAUGCAAAACUGGCAAGCUAGAGUAUGGUAGAGGGUGGUGGAAUUUCCUGUGUAGCGGUGAAAUGCGUAGAUAUAGGAAGGAACACCAGUGGCGAAGGCGACCACCUGGACUGAUACUGACACUGAGGUGCGAAAAGCGUGGGGAGCAAACAGG
rnacentral:rRNA from 1 species